GAUAUAUCUAAAAACAGCUUGCAAAAACUGUAAAUCUCUUGUCUGAAGCCUUUGCAAGCCCUCCCCAUCUAACUCUGCCCAUAUUUUCUGAUGCUGUCCAAUCUCAAACUUCCCAAUGCAGUUCAGUGAGAAGUCUUUGCAAGGCAUGUAUUCUGGGCAAUUGCUGCCCCUUGAGUUUAGCUCCACUGAGCUAACCAAACCAGGAAGUAACAGGACCCAUGGUUUGCUUUUAAAGCCAGGGGGUACAACAAUGUUAAUUUAUAAAGGUGAGCAUUUAUAUUGCUAUUUACACUUCGCAAAGUGUUGGACACACUCUUCACACAUAAAGCAUUUCAGCAAGCUAAAGUUUUAAGGGGUCAGGACUCAGGAGUUUCCUGCUAAGUGCACACAACCAUAGAACCAUAUACAUGUCACUAUGGAGGAAAGCUAGGCCUGGUGCCCAUUAGACUGAUCCCACCAACAAGAAAACUCCAGAUACAGAGCCAGUACCAGCAAGCAGGAC